CUCAGAGUGACCAGAAGAGGGCGCUACUUAGUGCAGCGCAUCAGACGUUACAUUUAUCUUUUAAAUAUUUAUUUUCACAAAAUACAUGAAUGCAAUAUUCUAGAAUACAAAUGUUUUCACAUAUGAUGCGCUACUCUAACAAAAUCCGUUACGUCAUAAAACAUAAGAUUUUUAACAUCAAGAAUUAGGCUAUAUGAUGAACAUGAAUGAUAUUCAGUUCACAAAAGUUGUCACGGAGGGCGUUUCUAGCCUUUGAUAAAUUGUGUUUGCUUUUUGAUUUCGUUGGGCUGUGCACUACUGAGCAACCAUAAGUUUAAGCUUUCAAACCAGUUGUCCGCUGAAUGAAUGAGUGUUUUGGGGAAUCAGAGAGAAGCAGUCUGAUAAACCUGGACUUUCUGAAACCAUGAUAUCACAGAACAUCUGGAGCCCACACAAGGUCACUGAAGGGUCCAGGACAUCGUUUGAACUCCAUAUAAGGGCACUGCCAGCUGGGGGACAUUCCAUGUGCAGACUGAUGGUAGAAAACACAUCCUCUCUUACCGUCUGCAUCUGAGUGUGUGUUUCUCAUCAUGAGGCAUGAGACACGAUUGCAACACUGAAUGCUUUUACAAAUGUCACGUUUGCUUUCUACAAGGAAAGUGGUUCUGAGUUCGGGCUGUUUGGAGUGAUAAAGUGUGUUCGUGUGUGAAUGAGGCGUAGCAUCUGUUCUUUUUUGGAUAAACAAAACACGUCUGAUGUGUGCGGCAUCUUCCAAAACGUCUGGUUCCCUGUGAUAUGAAGUUACAUGUUGUGAUACCUUAUCUACAAUUAAAUAUCUUC